rnacentral:rRNA from 1 species
GUUCCGUAGUGACCUGCGGAAGGUCAUUA